AUGCAUGAAUUAACUAAGGAAAACAUUGAGCGCAUGAAUGCUAAAUAUAAACUUGCUGGAGAUAAGGGUAGAAAACAUGUUGUGUUUGCACCUGGAGAUCUUGUUUGGUUACAUUUGCGUAAGGAUAGAUUUCCUGAUUUGCGCAAAUCAAAGUUAAUGCCACGUGCUGAUGGUCCCUUUAAGGUGUUAGAGAAAAUAAAUGAUAAUGCAUAUAAACUUGAGCUGCCUGCAGAUUUUGGGGUUAGUCCCACUUUUAACAUUGCAGAUUUGAAGCCUUAUUUGGGUGAGGAAGAUGAACUUCCGUCGAGGACGACUUCAUUUCAAGAAGGGGAGGAUGAUGAGGACAUCAAUACAAUUGUUACACCCACAGCCCCUGCUGCUAUACAUACUGGACCAAUUACUAGAGCUCGUGCACGCCAACUAAAUUAUCAGGAAACAGACCCUCGUGGUCAGGUUGAUCGUGCUCCGGCGUGGUCAAUAACCUCUCGGAGUUGGUUUAGCGAUUGCUAA
rnacentral:rRNA from 1 species